CGUAGGUGGCAAGCGUUGUCCGGAUUUACUGGGCGUAAAGAGCGCGCAGGCGGUCGUUCAAGUCGCGUGUGAAAGCCCCCGGCUCAACUGGGGAGGGUCACGCGAUACUGAUCGACUCGAAGGCAGGAGAGGGAAGUGGAAUUCCCGGUGUAGUGGUGAAAUGCGUAGAUAUCGGGAGGAACACCAGUGGCGAAGGCGACUUCCUGGCCUGUUCUUGACGCUGAGGCGCGAAAGCUAGGGGAGCAAACGGGAUUAGAUACCCCGGUAGUCCUAGCCGUAAACGAUGGACACUAGGUGUUGGUGGUAUCAACCCCGCCAGUGCCGAAGCUAACGCAUUAAGUGUCCCGCCUGGGGAGUACGGCCGCAAGGCUA
rnacentral:rRNA from 1 species